ACCCGUGUAGCUUAAAUGGUAGAGCACGGCAAUGUGCGCGAAAGGUGCGGGUUCGAAUCCCGCCACGGGGA
rnacentral:tRNA from 1 species